UUCCAUCGCUAAGUCAAGGCCUCUUCCUGCGACUUCGGUCGUGCACAACUUCGGUUGUGCUUGUUUCAAUGGAAUUCCGUCUGUUACAGCUUUGGUAUAUUAACACUGGCCCGCACCGAAUUUCGUUAUGAACCUAGGUUGACUUGCUUUCGUCUUGAAAGCCUGUCGCAAAGGGCCAGCUGUGUUUUGUUUUUGAGUAGAAGUCUGUUUCUGCCUAUUUGGUGGCUUUGUAGCAGACUUCUUAGUAACAUCCCACACAUUC
rnacentral:ncRNA from 1 species